GGACGCGAGCGAGGCCGGCCAUGGAGCCCCUGCGGAGGGCCCACGAGGCCGCGCUCCGGCUGCUGCUGUGUCGGCCUUGGGCCUCGGGCGCCGCCUCCCGCCCGAAGCCCCGCGCCUCGGAGGUGCUGACGCGGCACCUGCUGCAGCGACGCCUGCCGCACUGGACCUCCUUCUGCGUGCCCUACAGCGCCGUCCGCAACGACCAGUUCGGCCUCUCGCACUUCAACUGGCCCAUGCAGGACGCCAACUACCACGUCCUGCGUACCGGCUGCUUCCCCUACAUCAAGUACCACUGCUCCAAGGCCCCCUGGCAGGACCUGGCCGGGCAGGAUCGGUUCUUCACGGCGCUCAAGGUCGUCAACCUGGGUAUUCCAACCUUAUUAUAUGGACUUGGCUCCUGGUUAUUUGCUAGAGUCACAGAGACUGUACAUACCAGUUAUGGACCAAUAACAAUUUAUUUUCUAAAUAAAGAAGAUGAAGGUGCCAGGUAUUGAAGGAUUCCACUGAGGGUCUCACAAUGUAUUCGGUCAUCGUGUCUUCUUAGUCUUCCCAGGAUGUGAUAGGCCAGGUUCUGCCUGAAGCAACAACCACAGCAUUUGAAUAUGAAGAUGAAGAUGGUGACCGAAUUACAGUGAGGAGCG